rnacentral:rRNA from 1 species
UACGGAGGGUGCAAGCAUUAAUCGGAUUUAUUGGGCGUAAAGGGCGCGUAGGCGGGGAUGUAAGUCAGAUGUGAAAUCCCGGGGCUCAACCUCGGAACAGCAUUUGAAACUGCAUCUCUUGAGGGUAGUCGGAGAAAACAGAAUUCCACAAGUAGCGGUGAAAUGCGUAGAUAUGUGGAAGAAUACCGGUGGCGAAGGCGGUUUUCUAGAUUAUACCUGACGCUGAGGCGCGAAAGCAAGGGGAUCAAACAGG